rnacentral:rRNA from 1 species
GGAACGAGUGGCGGACGGGUGAGUAACACGUGGGUAACCUGCCCUUAAGUGGGGGAUAACAUUUGGAAACAGAUGCUAAUACCGCAUAGAUCCAAGAACCGCAUGGUUCUUGGCUGAAAGAUGGCGUAAGCUAUCGCUUUUGGAUGGACCCGCGGCGUAUUAGCUAGUUGGUGAGGUAAUGGCUCACCAAGGCGAUGAUACGUAGCCGAACUGAGAGGUUGAUCGGCCACAUUGGGACUGAGACACGGCCCAAACUCCUACGGGAGGCAGCAGUAGGGAAUCUUCCACAAUGGACGCAAGUCUGAUGGAGCAACGCCGCGUGAGUGAAGAAGGCUUUCGGGUCGUAAAACUCUGUUGUUGGAGAAGAAUGGUCGGCAGAGUAACUGUUGUCGGCGUGACGGUAUCCAACCAGAAAGCCACGGCUAACUACGUGCCAGCAGCCGCGGUAAUACGUAGGUGGCAAGCGUUAUCCGGAUUUAUUGGGCGUAAAGCGAGCGCAGGCGGUUUUUUAAGUCUGAUGUGAAAGCCCUCGGCUUAACCGAGGAAGCGCAUCGGAAACUGGGAAACUUGAGUGCAGAAGAGGACAGUGGAACUCCAUGUGUAGCGGUGAAAUGCGUAGAUAUAUGGAAGAACACCAGUGGCGAAGGCGGCUGUCUGGUCUGUAACUGACGCUGAGGCUCGAAAGCAUGGGUAGCGAACAGGAUUAGAUACCCUGGUAGUCCAUGCCGUAAACGAUGAAUGCUAGGUGUUGGAGGGUUUCCGCCCUUCAGUGCCGCAGCUAACGCAUUAAGCAUUCCGCCUGGGGAGUACGACCGCAAGGUUGAAACUCAAAGGAAUUGACGGGGGCCCGCACAAGCGGUGGAGCAUGUGGUUUAAUUCGAAGCAACGCGAAGAACCUUACCAGGUCUUGACAUCUUUUGAUCACCUGAGAGAUCAGGUUUCCCCUUCGGGGGCAAAAUGACAGGUGGUGCAUGGUUGUCGUCAGCUCGUGUC